rnacentral:lncRNA from 1 species
CCCUGCAGGCACACUUUGUUGAAUCAACGUUGAAUCUUUGUUGAUUUUAGGUUAUACAUUGAUCAACAAAUAUUCAACAUUGAUUCAACGUUGACAAUGCAACGUUGAAAUUAGUGCAUUGUUUCAACGUUGAAUUAACAUUGUGUUGAAAUACCAACAAUGAAUCAACGUUGGCUAAACAAUAUAUAAAACCCAGUAGUUGUGGAUACCAGAAUUGUCAAAAAGGAAGUAUUGGACACAUCAAAAUUAUUUUUAAAUUGAC